rnacentral:rRNA from 1 species
CUUUAGUGGCGAACGGGUGCGUAAUACGUGAGAAUCUGCCCUUAGGAGGAGAAUAACUUCUGGAAACGGUUGCUAAGUCUCCAUAUGCCGAGAGGUGAAAUAGUUUAUACUGCCUAGGGAUGAGCUCACGCCUGAUUAGCUUGUUGGUAAGGUAAUGGCUUACCAAGGCCACGAUCAGUAGCUGGUUUGAGAGAACGAUCAGCCACACUGGGACUGAGACACGGCCCAGACUCCUCCGGGAGGCAGCAGUGAGGAAUUUUCCGCAAUGGGCGAAAGCCUGACGGAGCAAUACCGCGUGAGGGAUGAAGGAUUUUGGUCUGUAAACCUCUUUUUUCAAGAAAGAAGUUCUGACGGUACUUGAGGAAUAAGCAUCGGCUAACUCCGUGCCAGCAGCCGCGGUAAUACGGGGGAUGCAAGCGUUAUCCGGAAUCAUUGGGCGUAAAGCGCCUGUAGGUUGUUUAAUAAGUCUGUUGUUAAAGACUAGGGCUUAACCCUAGGAAAGCAAUGGAAACUGCUAGACUUGAGUAUGAUAGGGGUA